rnacentral:rRNA from 1 species
UACAGAGGGUGCGAGCGUUAAUCGGAAUUACUGGGCGUAAAGCGUGCGUAGGCGGUUUUGUAAGUCGGAUGUGAAAUCCCCGGGCUCAACCUGGGAAUUGCAUUCGAGACUGCAAGGCUUGGGUGCGGAAGAGGGAAGCGGAAUUUCCGGUGUAGCGGUGAAAUGCGUAGAUAUCGGAAGGAACAUCAGUGGCGAAAGCGGCUUCCUGGUCCAGCACCGACGUUCAGGCACGAAAGCGUGGGGAGCAAACAGG